UUUCAGGAGAGCUUAUUGGACAAAGAUCAUCACGUCGCUGUGGCGCUGGGGAAACCAGAUAUCAGCACAUCUGAAGAGGACGGUGGGACUGUUUGUGAAGCUCCACCCCUUUCGUUCACACUGUUGUGUUUCAGUGAUCUUAUGUCUAAAGCCACGCCCCUUCUAGAGGAAGACCCCGCCUACUGGGAGAGAUUUCAAAGCAAAAAGGAAGCACCUCUAAGACAAAACAGCAGUGAAUAAAUUGCAUUUUUAUAUGUAUAUUGGGGUAAUUUUUUUUUUAACUCUGCAUCUUAAACAAAAUGACUGUUUGAAGAUACUUCAACUUUAUUACUUAUAACAUCAUUAUUUCCACAGUGACAAUGGAUGUUCAUAAAAGUCAACUUCAGGUUUUUUAUAUUUUAACCUUUUUUUUUUCCAGUCAUCAAUUUCAGCAAACUGAUUUGUUUAGGAAGGCACACACCAGCUAUUGAUGAUGUUUGUGCAGCUGUUUUCCCUCCAAAAUGAUGUCACUUCCUGGAGGAUGAUGUCAUCAAGGAACUGGCUUCAGUUAGUUAAUGGGAUAUAAACCACAUUCAGCAGGCCAUUAGCUCGGUGUGUUGGGAAGGUCCUGCUUUUAACAAAUCGCUGCUGUUCGGUCGCAGGUAUGCGUUUCCGCUCUUGUGCCGUUAUUUUAUUUGUGCAGUAAAGUCCCGCCCCUCGCGCUGAUUGACAGGAGCUGCAGCCACACAGCUUGUGAGUUACUGAGCCUGUCGUCUAGAGGUUAAAAGAGCAAAGUCUAUUACAGCAAAGCAGAACGGUCGAGGAUGAACUCAUCGGAAACACAGAUGGGAUCCCAUUCAGAUUAAACUCUGUACCCACAUGUAAUUACAUUUUUUCUAAAGUAGGAAAAUAGAGACUAAGCAGAUUGUUGAGUGAUGUACAUUUCAAGUAGAAAUUUUAAUAUAAAUGAGUUUUCAUGAUGCAAUUUAAUAAUGCACCAUCCAAUUAAAGUCUUGUUUUGGU